GGGUGUACCUCAGGGGUAGAUCACUUGCCUAGCAUGCAUGAAGCUCUGGGUUCAAUCCCCAGCAUCACA
rnacentral:tRNA from 1 species